AGAGUUUGAUCCUGGCUCAGAUUGAACGCUGGCGGCAUGCUUUACACAUGCAAGUCGAACGGUAACAGGCCGCAAGGUGCUGACGAGUGGCGAACGGGUGAGUAAUGCAUCGGAACGUGCCCAGUCGUGGGGGAUAACGCAGCGAAAGCUGUGCUAAUACCGCAUACGAUCUAUGGAUGAAAGCGGGGGACCGUAAGGCCUCGCGCGAUUGGAGCGGCCGAUGCCAGAUUAGGUAGUUGGUGGGGUAAAGGCCUACCAAGCCGACGAUCUGUAGCUGGUCUGAGAGGACGACCAGCCACACUGGGACUGAGACACGGCCCAGACUCCUACGGGAGGCAGCAGUGGGGAAUUUUGGACAAUGGGCGCAAGCCUGAUCCAGCAAUGCCGCGUGCAGGAAGAAGGCCUUCGGGUUGUAAACUGCUUUUGUACGGAACGAAACGGCUCUGGUUAAUACCCGGAGCUAAUGACGGUACCGUAAGAAUAAGCACCGGCUAACUACGUGCCAGCCGCCGCGGU
rnacentral:rRNA from 1 species